rnacentral:tRNA from 1 species
GUCUCUGUAGCGCAAUGGAUAGAGUAUUGGACUACUAAUCCAAAGGUCGUGGGUUCGAAUCCUACCUGGGAUG